rnacentral:sRNA from 1 species
CCAGGCCAGGCUGCACUGCUGGGACCGGGGCCAUGUCUCCCCACCCCACCGCCCUCCUGGGCCUAGCAAGAAGGAUUACACUGAGAUAGUGAUGUCGAGUAGCGUUGGCUUGGUCGUUAUGAAAUGCUGAAUGCCCCCCAGCUCCAUCGAGCCCCCUUUUGAUAGCAGCCCCAUAAGGAGACUGGGUGGUGGGCAUUUUUCUCACUGGAGCUUCUCUUCCAGUGCUCUGCCUGGCCCAGACAAUCCACACGCAGGAGGGGGCCCUGCCCAGACCCUCCAUCUCGGCUGAGCCAGGCACCACGAUCCCCCCGGGAAGCCGUGUGACUUUCGUGUGCCGGGGCCCGGCUGGGGUUCAAACAUUCCGCCUGGAGAGGGAGAGUAGAUCCAAGUACAAUGAUACUAAUGACGUGUCUCAAGCUAGUUCAUCUGAGUCAGAGGCCAGAUUCCGCAUUGACUCAAAACCUCUGGAGGCCCGGACUCUCCCGACACAGAGCUCGGCUCCUCAGCUGGUCAGUAGCAGGGCCCUCAGCCGGAAGGGAUUACAGGGGGAUCUGUGCUGGGGAUGCUGCUCUGGGUCCAGCCCUCUGCCCUGGGCUUGGAGUCAAGGUCUAGGGAGGCCACGGGAAGGCACUGUCACCUGCUCAGCUCUGGGAGGUCGCUAAUGCUCGUAGAGACCAUAGCAACAAUGGACCCAUGCAGAGGCCGUCGGACAACAGUCACAAUGAGCAUGCACCUGCUUCUCAAGGCCUGAGUGCUGAGCAUCUUUAUAUUCUCAUCGGGGUCUCAGUGGUCUUCCUCUUCUGUCUCCUCCUGGUCCUCUUCUUCCUCCGUCGCCAGAAUCAGAUAAAGCAGGGGCCCCCCAGAAGCAAGGACAAGGAGCAGAAGCCACAGCAGAGGCCUGACCUGGCUGUUGAUGUUCUAGAGAGGACAGCAGACAAGACCACAGUCAGUGGACUUCCUGAGAAGGACAGAGAGACGGACACCUCGGCCCUGGCUGCAGGGAGUUCCCAGGAGGUGACGUAUGCUCAGCUGGACCACUGGGCCCUCACACAGAGG